rnacentral:rRNA from 1 species
AUACGGAGGGAGCAAGCGUUGUUCGGAUUUACUGGGUGUAAAGGGCGUCUAGGCGGAUUUAUAAGUCAGAUGUGAAAUCCCACGGCUCAACCGUGGAACGGCAUUUGAUACUGUAAGUCUUGAGUACGGAAGAGGAAAGCGGAAUUCCUGGUGUAGCGGUGAAAUGCGUAGAUAUCAGGAAGAACACCGGUGGCGAAGGCGGCUUUCUGGUCCGUUACUGACGCUGAAGCGCGAAAGUGUGGGGAGCAAACAGGAUUAGAAACCCUAGUAGUCC